UGAUGGCUGAAACAAAUCCCCCUUCUGGUACUAACCCGCCUGGCAUGGACCCUGCGAUUCCAUUGGGCUGCGGAUGCCAGGAGGAGCCUGGCCAGUGUGCACCCAGAAGGAAACAGGCACUGAAAGCGGAAGGCCAAACCUCCCCAAUGGGUGUGUCUUUCUCCCCCAGGGCUCAACACCAGCGAGGCCCCAGACUUGUGGUGCCGGGACGGGCUCCAUGACCCCGAGCGCCUGGGGUAUAGAAACCUGGCCAGGGUGGGAGAGGCCUUUGGCGAGCUGUUCACAGAGGAGCAGAAAAGAUCUUUCCUCCAGGAGGGCCUGCUGGCCAUUCACCACCCCCUCCUCCGCGUCAGCCAGGCUGGCCUGGUGCUGACGUAUUCCAUCCUGGGGGAAGCCGGCCAGCUGCUAGAGGACGAGGAGGACAUCGCAGCCUACAUAAAGAUCCAGCUGUUUAACAUCAGGGUCUUGGGCCAGGUGCCCGACGCCCUGCAGGGGCUGUGCUCCUUGGGGCAGCACUGAAGACCCCCCCC